GAUUCUGUUAUAAAGAAAAGAAGGCUGCAGAUGACUAUCUUGGUUCUUAUAAAUAGUAGGCUUGUAAUGUUAAAGCUGGUGGAAAGGGCAGUAACUGCUAUGUGAACAUCAGGGGUCCCUGUUGUCCAGCAGGGAGACUUCCACUCUGUGUCUCCAAGCUACAGCAGCGGACACUACCCAUCUCAGCCCCUGCUCUCGGCCCUGGCCUCAGCAAGAUGGUUAAGCCUCUGAUUAUCAAAACCACGUAAAAUCUUUUGGAAUUUCCCCCAAAUAGUCACUGAACUCUUAUUACUUGCUAAGUACUAUUUAAAUGCUUCAUAUACUUUCUCUCAUUUACUCCUCACUGAAUUCCUAUGACAUUUGUCCCUUUUAUAGAUAAGGAAACAUCUGGGCGAGGUUACGCAGUUUCCCAAAGUCACAGCACUAGGGAGAGGAAUGGCCAGGAUUCAGAACCAAGCAUGAAACGGGCUGAUCUAUCACAACAAAUCCCAAAGCUCUGUAGGAAAACAGUGUCAGCUGUCCGUACUCAGACCUAGCAGUGGACACACCCCAUCAGGCUCCUCUGACAGCAUCUGUCCCCAGCAUGGAUGCGGGAUCCACUGAAGCACUUUCUACCAAAUCAUGCUUCAAGAGGCAGGAACCAGUAACCUCCCAGCCACCAGGAAGUCCCUGCAGUCAUUUUAAGAAGAUGGUUCCGUCUCAGCCAAAGCUUCACCUUCCAGGCAACCAUACAAAUAUUCAGCAACAUGUCAAGUUCUGAUGCACACCUGAAAGGUGCAAAAUCCAGGAGAGGAUGCACUCAUCAUUUCAGCAAAGAACAGCCAAACACUGAAAUUUUCAAUAUUCUCAUCCAGAGUCGCAAAGGACUACUUAAAAUAUAAAAGUAGUGGGAACAUUUUUCCCUCUCAAGGACUUGCACAAUAUGCUUUGUCUCCAAAUAUUUUUUCUGAAAACUGUUUUCUGUUAUACAGACAGUCAUGUUACCUCAAACUUGAAAAUGUAUUUCAAACUUGAAAUCUAUCUAUACAAAUGAUGUUUAAAACUCUGUUUCAUAAACUACUGAAGAUAUAUUUUGUAUUUGCCUCCAAAUUCAUCUUUAGUAGCACUGGUUUGAAUUGGUUCCAAAAUCCAAGAAAUUCACCUCCUUAUUCCAGCCUAUUUCACCUUUUCCCCUUUAAUUAAUCUUACUGAUCUACUAAGAGAAAAAUAAUGUUGAUGAGGAGGGAAAUAAGCUGCUAACAGUUGCCAAAAGAGAGGUCCAUUCUGUCUAGGUGCUGCCGGUGAGGGACAGUGGCCCGAUGGCCGCACUCACCAUGAAGCCCUUCAAGGUCCUGUAGUGAGGGUCCAGCAGGAGGCUGGCCACCGAGCACACCUGAGCAGUCCUGUCCCAGCCAUCGGAACAGUGAACAAGUACACUUGCUCCUUCCUCUGAAACUGCCUGAAAAACACAGGAUUGGCAAAGAGUCACAAAGAACAGCUAUAACCAGGAUCAGCAGUAGGUUUGGUUUUAUACUCACAGAAAGACUCAAAAAAAGAUUUACAGGCAAAAAAUCCAUACCAAAACCUCUUCAUUCAUUUACUGAUGUUGACAGCCCCAUCGAGUUAAGGAAGAGCCAAGGCCUGGUUUGGCGCCGGUAACUGAAGUCCUCCCUGAGGUCCAGAAGCCUCCACCCGGGCCCUCACAGGCUGCCACACCGCGGGUGAGCACGCCUCCCGUGCCACCGUGUCCCUGCCACCUUCCACCACCCCCCCGCCUUCCCCUCCAGGCUUCCCCCUGAAGCCUUUCCAAGACUGAAAUUCUGGAGCUGCUGCUGGCCUCCCUCAUUUUCAAAAAGGAAAAGCUACAAAAAUGAUAAAUUGAAAAACUAUGAGGUUAGAGACAAAAGGGUAAUAAGAUCCAAGUAAUGGACGGGGAGGGGUGGGGAGGAAACAGAUAAAAUGACAGCAGCAGGUCUCCGCGAGAAAAGCUGCUCACAGGCCGCCGCACAUGGGCACGCGAGUUUCACCGAGUCUCUUGGCGGGAAACGUAGCCUGGAAAACAUGGUGGAGACUCUGUCAUGGCAUUUAUCACUACCUGAAAUUCUGUUUUAUUCAUUGGUUCAUUUUCUGUCUCCUGCACCAGGACAUAAGCUUUGUGAGGGAAGAGACCUGCUCUUGCUUAUUCAGCGUCGCAUACUCAGCACCUAAAAAAGUGCCCAGUGAUGAAUAAAUAUUUGGCAAAUAAAUUAAUUAUCUAAUAAAGGGGAGCAUACCACGUCAUCUGAAAAGACAUGGUCAUCUUUAGAUAUACAUCUGAGGGGAAUUAUUGAAAAAAAAAAAAAAACUGAGCAACAAAAUAGACAAAGCUUUCCCAAACAGCUUAUAUGCAAGCUGCAGCAAAAUCCCCUGGCAGCCUGGACUCUACUGGCCAGCUUCAGGAGCAGGGCUUCUGCUAAUGCCAUCACUGAAAACUGAUGCUGACUAACACGGAAGUCUCAGGCCUCGAUCACUGCAGUGACUCACAUCUGGAUAUAUUCUCCUGCAGAAAAUUCUUCCCUCCACCCAGGACCAAGCCUAACCUAACUGAAAUGAGAAUAGUCUGAAAGUAACUUACCACUUGAUCGCUUGAUAAUCUUCUAUCAACUGAGCACUGUCUUCUCUUUCACAAAGUCCCAUGGUCAGAGGGCAAACCUCGGGGAGGUCUGCAAAGCCAGCUCCCCACUCAGUACAGCACAACGUGGCCCAGGGGAGCUCGUGGGGAGGGGACAGGAUCUCCACUCCAAAGCCAGAGUGCACCGGCUGGUCUGCCCCACCGCCUCUGUCCUCUGCAGUCGCCUACCUUUGCAAUGAAGAUCCCUGCAUCCAGGAUGGCCUUAAUGUGCCUCAGCCAGCCAGAGUUCUCCAGUCCCCACAGAAAAUCACUCAUGGAGGGAGAUUUAAGUUCACACACUGCAAGAUAAAUUGUGUUACAGAAGCAAAAUAGAAGCAGUCUCUCAUUUCACAUGUGAUCGUAUUUGCAGGUAGUCUGUUAAUGGCUCCUUCAUUAUAGUGUUUUCUGGAAGACUUGAGUCAAGAUAAAUGCCCAAGCUUACUGAACCUGGUUCUGCUGGACCACUUCCAAGUAAGGCUUUUCUACUCUGGGCACGGGGGGUGCUGCUUCUGCUUGGAAGUGUUACGUCUGUAGAGUUUAAAUUCUAAUAUUUGUGAAAAUUAUUGAAUGUUGUCAUAGUAAAAAUAAGAGAAGAUGUAUUUAUUCUUUCAGCAAAGAUGUUCAAAACAGGCCACCAAGGAGCACUUGAGUAAGACUGCUACGGGGGGAAAGGCUCAUGUAACAACUCCAGCACUUGCCCAGUUAUAACCCCACCGUCCAGCCACUUCAGCUGAGGACUCCUGUCCAAACACCAGACAGAGAGGGAGGGCUGUCCUAAAGUCUUACACAGAAAUGAUCCAACAACCCUACCCAACAGAGUAAAGUAUGUGGACUUUACUCAGCAGAGUAAAGUGUGUGAAUAUGAGGUCCUGCACUUCUGAAUCCCAUCUAGAGUAUCAAGUCCAGGCUUUUCCCUGUGAUUGCAAAUGAAGAUGAGCUAGGAUUCCCAUGACACCUGAAGGUCACAAAACUAAGGCAGGUGUGUAAACUCUCCUAUAUUAUUAUCAUGAGCCACUGCAUCCCAAGAGCUUAUCUUCUAGUUAACGUGAAGCACGCAAAAGCUCUAGAGCUCAGCAUUCUGACCAUGUAUCACAAAUAUCACAUUCCGAAGUUUACGCAGUUUAUACCUAUAAAGCCCUCUUGAGGAAUCCUAUAAAUCAAUCAGUGACAAUUAAAUAAUGUUCUGGA